rnacentral:rRNA from 1 species
UACGUAGGGCGCAAGCGUUGUCCGGAAUUAUUGGGCGUAAAGAGCUCGUAGGCGGUUUGUCGCGUCUGCUGUGAAAACCUAAGGCUCAACCUUGGGCUUGCAGUGGGUACGGGCAGACUAGAGUGCGGUAGGGGUGACUGGAAUUCCUGGUGUAGCGGUGGAAUGCGCAGAUAUCAGGAGGAACACCGAUGGCGAAGGCAGGUCACUGGGCCGCAACUGACGCUGGGGAGCGAAAGCAUGGGGAGCGAACGAGG